rnacentral:miRNA from 1 species
GUGAGGGAGGAAGGGGGUGACUAGCGACAGAGUGAGGGAGGGAGGGGGUCACUAGUGACAGAGUGAGGGUGACUGUCACUAGUCACCCCCUCCCUCACUCUGUCACUAGUCACCCCUUCCUUCCCUUACU